AAUUUAGAAAGUUUAUUUUGCCAAGGUUGAGGACACACUCCCAUGACACAGCCUCAGGAGGUCCUGAUGACAUGAUAGAGCACAAUUCGGUUUUAUACAUUUUAGGGAGACAUGAGACAUCAAUCAGUUUAUGUAAGAUGAAUAUUGAUUUGGUCUGGAAGGUGGGACAACUUGAAGCAAAGGAGGACAACUUGAAGUGGGGAGGGGGCUUCUAGGUCAUACAUAGAUAAGAAACAAAUGGUUACAUUCUUUUGAGUUUCUGAUUAGCCUCUCCAAAGGAGGCAAUCGGAUACAGAUAUAUCUCAGUGAGCAGAGGGGUGACUUUGAGUAGAACGGGAGGAAGGUUGGCCCUAAGCAGUUCCUAGCUUGACCUUUCCCUUUAGCUUAGUGAUUUUUGGGGACCCAAGAUUUAUUUUGCUUUCACACUCUCCAUGAUUCAAUUUUUUUUCUCCUCUUUUUCACUCAUUUCACUGUCUUUGUUGCCCAUCUAGUUGACAAACGAGGACAUUCACCAUCCCUUUUUACUCCAUAAAUACAGAAGCAGAAUUGGUCCUUCUAACACCAGACUUGUACUGUCAUUCAACUUUUCCCAUGUGCAGUAGCUCUCCAACUAGCACAGGGACCACAGCUUUGCUGCCUCAGAACCACACUGGCCUGAGUCAGGAGGUCAGUGACAGCCCACUUUCAGUUUCAUUUCUCUCCCCAACAAGUCAACCACUGGGGGAAGUUUGAAUGUUGACACACUUCAUCUGGGUCCCACUGUGCUUCCCCUCAACAAUGCCAGGUGGGGGAAGGUCCAAAAAGUUCAGGCCUGUUCAUUACUGCCAAGUGGUCAUUCAAAGCCAGUAAGUUAUGUCGGUUACAAACAAGCUACAAAAAAUUUUGUAACAAAGGUAAAAGUAAGCCCUAUUAAGUUGUAUUUUAUAUAUACAUAUAUAUAUUUUAAAUUAUACAAUUUUAUAUAUAAAACUUUAUAUAUAAUUUAAAUUAUAAAAUUAUGUUUGCUGCCUCAGAUUGCAGCUACUCCCUAUUAUUCCAUAACACAUCAUUUUAUGUAUAUAUACAAAAUGAUAUAUAUAUUAUAUAUAUAUAAAAUGAAUGGAAAUUGGAAGAGCUGAAGGAAUUCUAUUUUCUUCUUGAACAAGGUGAAAUUUUUUAUCAGCUGGACACACUUUUUCAUGACUGAGCAUAAGACAUUUUCCAUUUCCCCACCCCCAUCUUGUUCCUCAAGUUUUCUAUUAUUUGGACAGCAAAGAAAGCUUUCCACAUAAAGAAAAUGUCUUUAAAUUAAAUGUUUAGAAUUUCACAUUGUAAAUACUUUUGUAUUUAUGACUUUUAGGAAAAUCCUCGAUCAUUAAAACAGCCCUAAGCUUAAAACUUUUUCUAAUCAAGGUGGUUUUUAGAGCAUGUUCAAUUUGCAGUCACUGAGUCCAUUUCUUAACCAGUAACUAAGGAAAUUAGGAAAGUACAACCUAAUGACCCUGGAAUAGGAUGGAGUCAAAUCACACUCACCAUACACUGCUUCUGAUUACUGAACAGGCUCCCUAAAGAUGCUGUGUUCAUUACUGGACAUUUUUUUGUUUGCAAAUUCUAAUUCUGAAAGAUUUGUUUUACUAAAAUCCACGGCACAAAGAGUGAGAUUUUCUCAAUGGCAGCAGGCUUUUUGGUAAAUGAUAUUAGUUUAGAAACACAAUAUCUUUAUAGUCAGAAUGAAAUUAAAAUUUGGAGGGACAGUUUUGCAUUUUUCUAAACUUAAAACCCUGAUCAACUGUAACCAAUCUUAAAAAUAAUACAGUUUUCUUAUCUAUGAUUUAGGAAAAUAUUUUCUGCAUUCAGGCUAAAAUUUUAAAACAUGUAAAAAUGGAAAAAAUUAAGGAAAUUUUAACACUACUACUAAUAAGCAUUUACUAAGCAUGUUGGCCAUUUGCAGAGCUAAAUAUAUUAUUUACAUCAUUUCCAUGUUAUAAUGACAAUAAACAUACAUAAGGGCGGUUUAACAAAAACUAUUGGUUCUGCUGCUGGGGAGAAAUUCAUUCAGCUUCCAUUUGCCUUAGUUUUCAAAAACUAAUUGGCUUUUUCCCAUAAUUGUUAUUGUCAUCUUUCAUGAUAUUGCUGACAUAAAAUGCAAUCCUACAUCAAGGAUUUUUAGCCCCAGAGGAGUAGAGGAGCAAUUUUUACAGGCUUUACAUAUACUUCUCAGCUUUUAUACCAUUUCUCUACUAGAAGUCACAAACUGAAGGUCCUAGGCAAAAAGCAACCUACAAAUAUGCAUGGUUGGGCUUGUAUAUUUUUGCCUUUCCAUUUCUAAAAAUGUAAUUAGCUGCUAAUAUUGAAAAGCUAGGGAAUGUCACUUUUGGCUUCCAUAUUUUCUUGAAACUAUGGCCCAAAUCCCCAAAGGCCAUCAAUUAGCUAAGUAACUGGCUGCCCCAUUAGCAAGAGCUGCCUCUGCCUUCAUUACCAUCCCCACACACUCCAAGCUUCAGGCUAGUUGCUAUUCAUCACACAGUAGUCUGCCUUUCAUCUACCCCACUUCCCUCAAAUUGUUUACUGGCAGGUUCCCAGAGAUAUUUAGGUUUGUAAUUCCUGUCCUGAAUUGCAAACAUGAUACUAAUAGUGAAAACUUCCAUAGUGUUUACUAGAGCUAAGCAAUUUUCUAGGUACUUAAAAUGCAUUAAUUCAUUAAAUCUUCAAGAUAACCAAUAGGGUGAAGAGUGCAUCAGUCUGUUUUCACACACUGUGAUAAAGAAAUACCUGAAACUGGGUAAUUUACAAAGAAAAGAGGUUUAAUUGGUUCAUGGUUCUGCAGGCUGUACAAGAAGUACAGCAACUUUUGCUUGGCUUCUGGGGAGGCCUCAGGAAACUUACAAUCAUCGCAGAAGGCAAAGGGGGAGUGAGAACUUCACAUGGCCAGAGCAAGAGGAAGAGAGACGCAAGAAGAGCUAUAUACUUUUAAACAACCUGAUCUUGUGAUACCUCACUCUCGCCAUGACAACACCAAGGGAGGUGGUGUUAAACCAUGAGAAUCCGCCCCCACUAUCCAAUCACCUCCCACUGCACCCCACCUCCAACAUUGGGAGUUACAAUUGAACAUGAGAUUUGGGUGGGGACACAGAUCCAAACCAUAUCAAACACUGUUAGCAUCUCCAUUUUUACAGAUUAGGAAACUGUGACACCAAGAAGUUAAGAAUUUGUCCAAGGCAACACAUUUUGUAAGUGGUGGCACCAGACUCCCAGACAGGAAUCUAGCCAAGGGCCUGAGAAUCCACCAUUAAGCUUUAUUUUUAAACAUAGUGGAAGGCUCUGCAUGACAACACUGACAACAUCACUUCAGUUCUGCUCAUUACAUUUAGAGGUGUGUGUCUAAUGCAAGCUAAUCUCUUCUUUGAAACACCUAGGAAACAAAAUUUAGGUCGAGUUGUACCUCAUGUAGCUCCAAGAUACUUCAUUAGACAAGCAGCCCCUUCUCCAAGGCUUUGCUGCUAUCUACCAAAAAACUGUCAUUACAAAAGGACAAAUGGCUGGUUCUGAGUCUGAAGGCACUUGCAGAACUGUGCUGUCCACAUAGCAAUAAGCAGUGCUCCCAAGUUCAAGAAUCCUUUCAGUUAUUACAGUAAGACGUAUUUUGAUAUCUGCAUGCAUAUAAAAUUAAUGAAAUGCUUUAUAGAAAUGAAAAUCUAUGGAUAAUAUGUCAUUUUCUAUGUAAAUACCAUCAAAUUGGACUUUUUAUUACCAAGUCCUCAUUUCACGAUUAUGACUGACAAAUGUGUGGCAAUGAUCCUCUUAAACAUUUAUAUCUCAAAAUUCCAGGAAUUUUAAGCUAUUUCCCUCUGCCCAAGAAUGGACUUGAAACACUGCAAGCAGUUUUGUCUUCCAUGAACAUGACACAACCCACAAAAUAUUUAUUAUAGAGCAGGAAACCUCUUUAGUCUGCAUCUUUCAGCAUUUUUCCUUUUCUUCUUUUAUUUUUUCUUAAAUUUUUGAAUUUGUCGUCUUUUUCUUUCUUUAAAAAUAGACCCUAGAAACAGAUCCUUUUCUUCUUUUGUGGUGAUUUGCCCUUCUAAUUAUCUAAUUAUGACUUAAUUUAAUCUAAAUAAAUCUAAAUGUUUGGGUUUAUUAUCUGAAUAUUAAAGAUGAGAAGAUAGGAUUUGAACUCAGACCUGUUUGACUUCCAAAUUCUGGUUUGCCCUACUAUCCCGUAAUGCCUCCUAGAUGCCGAUUAGUCUAAGCGGCUGCUCCACAAGGCUUUUAAGCAUUCAAGAACUCUACUGGACCAUUUGAGGGUCUGUUCUGGAGACAGACAGUGCUUCAAGUGCUGAGGGCUCAGGACUUCACCCUCCCAGGAGGUACACACAGUACAAAGCCUAACAAUUUGUCAGCACAUAAUCAAUUGAAACCACACUCUAAAGUUAAAUUAGUUCCUUCCAAAUGGGGCAGACACGUGCUGACCAAUUAAGAGGCCCAAAGACUUGGGAGUAGAGGAUGAAUAGGAAUAAAUUGAGAAAGUAUGCAGGAAAAUUAUUGAAGGAAGAAUGAAGACGAGAAUUCUCAAUGCUAAGUUCUGGAAGAUGCUGGAAGAGAACUGAAUCCAAAACAAAUAUAUUUAUGUCAACUCAUCAUUGCUUACAUUUUCUAGUCUAACAGAGCAGAACCAUGAAAUUGUUUGAAAAGUGAAAAGCCUCUUCUAAGUAUACAAGCAGGGAGAGCAUUAGGAAUCGUAAAUUAAAAGGACACAGGUCCUAGCAGAGAAGCAAUGAAGCAUUGGGGAAGAGGGUUUCUGGGGAAUUUAUGUGAACUUACAGAACUGUGGUCUGCUGUGGUACCUGAGGAAUGUGGUCCAGCAUCAAGUGCAUGCAGCGGACGGU
rnacentral:lncRNA from 1 species